rnacentral:rRNA from 1 species
CCUACGGGUGGCAGCAGUGGGGAAUAUUGCGCAAUGGACGAAAGUCUGACGCAGCGACGCCGCGUGAGGGAUGAAGGUUUUCGGAUCGUAAACCUCUGUCAGGAGGGAAGAAAGCGCAUGGCGCCAAUCAGCCAUGCGUUGACGGUACCUCCAAAGGAAGCGCCGGCUAACUCCGUGCCAUCAGCCGCGGUAAUACGGAGGGCGCGAGCGUUAAUCGGAAUUACUGGGCGUAAAGAGUUCGUAGGCGGCACGUAAAGUCUGGUGUUAAAGGCAGAGGCUCAACUUCUGUACGGCACUGGAUACUUGCGAGCUAGAAUGCGGUAGAGGUAAAGGGAAUUCCUGGUGUAGCGGUGAAAUGCUUAGAUAUCAGGAGGAACAUCGGUGGCGUAAGCGCUUUACUGGGCCGUAAUUGACGCUGAGGAACGAAAGCCAGGGUAGCAAAUGGGAUUAGAUACCCGUGUAGUC